AACGAACGCUGGCGGCAUGCCUAACACAUGCAAGUCGAACGAGACCUUCGGGUCUAGUGGCGCACGGGUGCGUAACGCGUGGGAACCUGCCCUUAGGUUCGGAAUAGCUCCCCGAAAGGGGUGCUAAUACCGGAUAAUGUCUUCGGACCAAAGAUUUAUCGCCUUUGGAUGGGCCCGCGUUGGAUUAGCUAGUUGGUAGGGUAAAAGCCUACCAAGGCGACGAUCCAUAGCUGGUCUGAGAGGAUGAUCAGCCACACUGGGACUGAGACACGGCCCAGACUCCUACGGGAGGCAGCAGUGGGGAAUAUUGGACAAUGGGCGAAAGCCUGAUCCAGCAAUGCCGCGUGAGUGACGAAGGCCUUAGGGUUGUAAAGCUCUUUUACCCGGGAUGAUAAUGACAGUACCGGGAGAAUAAGCUCCGGCUAACUCCGUG
rnacentral:rRNA from 1 species